AGCACUGCAAAGGGGAAAAAAGUCACAAGCAUGUAAGUAACCUGUUGAAUUGUCUCAUAUUUCUAUAGCAAGCAGCAUCCAGCUAAUGUGCCAAGAGGCUCCUUUCAUACCUUUCCACUCAACAAAGAAAACCUGACGUACCAGAACAUGUAUGCACAUAACAAAAGCAAUUGUUACACACAAGCAGCACACUAUUUCUUAACUGAAAUAUGAGUUCCUUAUGAGAAAGUGAAAAGACAACAAUGGCUGUUGAAGACCGCUUUCAAAAGGAAGAGCAAUAAAGACUAGAAUUGCGUGCAAAUCAGAAGGUUCUUCAAUGAUAAUGGGGAAGGUGUAAUUUCUAACUGUAAUCUGUGGGCAAUUAUAGAGUACAAGUCAAUAUAACUUUAUGUUACAUGCUUAGUGGAAUACUGAAAAAUGAAACAAGACCUCAAGGACAUCUCAUUUGUUAUAACCAUUGCAUGGGUAGUAAUAACAUUCAUUUAUUACUUUCGUAUUAUAUUAUAAUUUAGUAUCCUGAGCCAGAAGAGAAAUCCAGAAUAGUGUGUGCAGUUCAAAAUGACUUUUCAAAAGUGUAUUUUAAAUUUCACUGAAAACAUUUACAUUUGAAUUGAAAAGAAAAGGUGAUGCAAUUCAUCUGAAAUGGGACUAGAACUCACACCUGCCAUUUAGUUCAGCUGGUUAGAACAUGGAGCUGAUAACUCCAUAAGGCCCAGCUGCAAAUUCCUGCAUUGCAGGGGGUUGGCCUAGAAUCCUCUGAGUCCCUUCCAACUCUAUGAUUCUAGGAGCUCCCAAUGUGUAGUGCAGUCCUCCAAAACAUUUUCCCAGAGUGGAGAACAUAGGAAAGAACAGUUUUAACUAGUGCAUCCAGAGCUUUAGCUUGGAUUGCUGUAAGUGAACAGUAGAACUUCCCAGAUCCUUCUCACAUCAUCUUUCUAUGAUCCUCUCAAUACAGAGAGUAUUUGCAGCAAUCCUGUGUUCUAAAGGGAUUCACUGAGAGAAGGUACUCCAUCAUGGAUUUCCCUGAUGCAAGAGAACAGUUCACUGGCCAUGUGGAUCAACAUCCCCACAGAAAGCUGCUUGUCCCCAAACAACCUGUCACAUGAUUCAGUGCUAUCACACUGAGAGCUUCCUCCACCAUCAGCAAUGAAUGUCAUUGACAUCCACGGCAGGCAGGCAAACUCACCAUGUAAACGGCCCAGAAAUGAUGGGGUGGUCAGAAACACACCAGAGAAAACCAACUUCUGUUGUAAAGUUUAAUAGCUAGACCAACUCAAAGAAUCUUAUUAAAGUCUACAUGUGAAACAUUCUGGACUUCUCUACUGGCUCAGCUUCCCUACAAAAAAAAGCUAGCGACACAGGUCUGAAACAUGUCAGUAACAGAAAGAUAUAUUGCUCCACCAGCUGAGAUGUCAAACAGCUUAGCUCAGAAGGACAAACCCAGCUUGCAGGCCAUAGUUGCCAGCCCUCUGUGGGAAAAGAGGGGUUUCUCCUUAUCCAAACAAUAUUCAGAGAUUGAUUUAACUCUACCACUUAUUGCAAGAGCAUUUUAAAAAAAGAAAUUGAUAGGUAGGUCUUCCAAGACUGGGCUUUUGUUUUCCCCUGCUACAAAGUCAUAAACAUUGCUACAGUACCUGCAGAAGACUCUCUAUGGCAUGAAAACCACGAAUUAAAUUCAAAGCCCCACAUAAAAGGCUGAGUAGAAAGGAAACAAUCCCUGACAAAGUCACAGGUUCCAGUCGCUGGUGAGGGGCUGGAAGGCAGAGGGGAAAAAACACUUAUCAAUAUUUAAAGAUGUGUUCCUUAAUGUUUGAGCCAAAAAUGUUAAUGCUAUUUUUCAGUGUCUUCCUGCUCAAGAUUCUGUAACUUAAAUGAGAAAAUACUCAUAAGCUUAAGAGA